rnacentral:rRNA from 1 species
GAUGAACGCUGGCGGCGUGCUUAACACAUGCAAGUCGAACGGAAAGGCCAGUGCUUGCACUGGUACUCGAGUGGCGAACGGGUGAGUAACACGUGGGUGAUCUGCCCUUUACUUCGGGAUAAGCUUGGGAAACUGGGUCUAAUACCGGAUAGGACAACUUUUUGGAUAUUGUUGUGGAAAGCUUUUGCGGUAUGGGAUGAGCUCGCGGCCUAUCAGCUUGUUGGUGGGGUAAUGGCCUACCAAGGCGUCGACGGGUAGCCGGCCUGAGAGGGUGUACGGCCACAUUGGGACUGAGAUACGGCCCAGACUCCUACGGGAGGCAGCAGUGGGGAAUAUUGCACAAUGGGCGCAAGCCUGAUGCAGCGACGCCGCGUGGGGGAUGAAGGCCUUCGGGUUGUAAACUCCUUUCGCUAGGGACGAAGCUUUUUUGUGACGGUACCUGGAGAAGAAGCACCGGCUAACUACGUG